rnacentral:rRNA from 1 species
GGCGGCGUGGAUAAGACAUGCAAGUCGAACGAGAACUACGAAUAGCUUGCUAAUUGUAGGUCUAGUGGCGGACGGGUGCGUAUCACGUGAGCAACCUACCCUGAAGUGGGGGAUAGCCCGGGGAAACUCGGAUUAAUACCGCAUGUGAUCUUCGGAUCAAAGACGGCUUCGGCUGUCGCUUCAGGAUGGGCUCGCGGCCUAUCAGCUUGUUGGAGAGGUAACGGCUCACCAAGGCAACGACGGGUAGCUGGUCUGAGAGGACGAUCAGCCACACUGGAACUGAGACACGGUCCAGACACCUACGGGUGGCAGCAGUCGAGAAUCAUUCACAAUGGGGGAAACCCUGAUGGUGCAACGCCGCGUGGAGGAUGAAGGCCCUAGGGUCGUAAACUCCUGUCAUCGGAGAGUAAGCCUUGGUCGUUAAUAGCUUCCAAGGUUGAUAGUAUCCGAAGAGGAAGGGACGGCUAACUUCGUGCCAGCAGCCGCGGUAAUACGAAGGUCCCAAGCGUUGUUCGGAAUCACUGGGCGUAAAGCGUGCGUAGGCGGCGUGGAAAGUCAGAUGUGAAAGCCCGGGGCUCAACCUCGGAACUGCAUCCGAUACUCCCGCGCUAGAGUAAUGGAGGGGUAGCUGGAAUUCUCGGUGUAGCAGUGAAAUGCGUAGAUAUCGAGAGGAACACUCGUGGCGAAGGCGAGCUACUGGACAUUUACUGACGCUGAGGCACGAAGGCCAGGGUAGCGAAAGGGAUUAGAUACCCCUGUAGUCCUGGCAGUAAACGGUGUGCGCUUGGUGUGGGAGGAUUCGACCCCUUCCGUGCCGGAGCUAACGCGUUAAGCGCGCCGCCUGGGAAGUACGGCCGCAAGGCUAAAACUCAAAGAAAUUGACGGGGACCCGCACAAGCGGUGGAGUAUGUGGCUUAAUUCGAUGCAACGCGAAGAACCUUACCCAGACUUGACAUGCUCAUCAUACCUUCCCGAAAAGGAAGGGUCGGUUCGGCCGGAUGAUGCACAGGUGCUGCAUGGCUGUCGUCAGCUCGUGUCGUGAGAUGUUUGGUUAAGUCCAGCAACGAGCGCAACCCUUGUGAAUAGUUGCCAGCGCGUAAUGGCGGGGACUCUAUUCAGACUGCCGGUAUCAAACCGGAGGAAGGUGGGGACGACGUCAGGUCAGUAUGGCCCUUACGCCUAGGGCUGCACACGUACUACAAUGCCCAGCACAAUGAGAACCGAUACCGCGAGGUGGAGGAAAUCUGUAAAACUGGGCCCAGUUCGGAUUGGAGGCUGCAACUCGCCUCCAUGAAGUUGGAAUCGCUAGUAAUGGCACAUCAGCUACGGCGC